AUGACGUUGGAAAAAUACUCAGACGUGAUCAUGGAGAUGGCAAAACAAGGCCUGUCAUCGGAAAUUAUAUCAGAGCGUCUGUCAUAUGAACACGGGGAAGUGAGAGGAUUUUCUGCGAGAAAUGUUAGAAAGUUUUGUGCUGAGCAAAUCACUAGCUGUCGACUCUCGGACACACGGUUGGAGCUUGAGGUGACACAAGCUAUAAAUGAGGUGGGCCCAACAUAUGGCCGCAAAAUGAUGAAGGGCUAUCUGUCCACAAAAGGGGUACAUGCUGCAGAGGGACGAAUUGGGUCAAUUUUAAGAGAGGUGCAUCAACCUUAUCAUGAAGCAAGACGCCAGACCUGCAGUGAUCACCUAUGGUAUGUGGGACCAGGUGCGAGUAGACCAUGGAAAGGAAUUUUAUUUAACACUGUUCAUGCAAGAGAUGCUGUCACAUCAUCGCUUCAAUCAGGAGAGACUGCCUUAUUUACAGACCUCAUCCACAAGAAACCACACAGUUGAAAGGAUUUGGCCUGAAAUCAACAACCGUGUCAACUACCCACUAAAAACUGCCCUACUCCAGCUGAUGGACCAGGAGGAGAUAGAUAUGGAGGAUAACCUUGUGCGAUACUGUGUGUCCAAUCUAACCUGUCAGCUGUGUAACAUUGGUCUUGCAAGUGUGGUAGAAUCAUGGAAUGCUCAUAGAAUCCCAGGUAAAAAAAAAAAAAAAAAAAGUCAGAUUGCUUACAACCCUGAUAAUGAACAUUUAAACACCUCCUCUAUUUUUUACAGGAAAAGGCAUACCAAAUCACUUUGCAGAACAUGGGUGUAAAAGAAGAAUUUCUCCAGAGCUCUUGCCAAAUGCACUUGAAGCAGCAGACCUUUACAGGCAGCACUUGGGAUCUGCACUCAAAGAAUAUUCGACUUUUGGAGUUGAUCCCUUCACAACCGAACAGGACAAACUUAGAACAGAGAGUCAUUUUGCAGAAAAAUAUCCUGAUAUUUCACAUUUGUUUUUUAGAGCCGUAAAUGGUGACUUUAUGCCAUACAAAGAAGCUCUGCUCUGUCUCAUAAACAUAACUCAGAGAAAUGUAUGAACCACUGCAUCUGUAAACUGUACAGAACAGACAAAAAAAAAAAUCAACUGACUGUAAACAUUUGUGUGUACACACUACAUUACUCCUCUGCAAAAAAAGAUUUCAAUACAGAAAAUGCAGCUGUUAGACCAGUAAUUUGUAGAACUCCGUUGUUACUCUCCCUGCAUUUUGCACAGUGCUGUGAUGUCUCUUGCCACUGUUCCACACAUGUCUUGCAGCCAAUAAUGCUUCUGCAGCACAGUGAGAACACUGGAUCCUCAAUGAUGUCUGCAAAAGUAAAUCAGAUAAGUGAGACUGUUAUCCAUUUAUGUUGAAUUUAGUUCAAACUAUAGGUUCAAAGUCAGUCUUGACAUAAAUUUACAGACAGCAUGCAGAAUAUUUUUGGUUAUUCUGUAAUUACUCUUGUUCACGCUGUUCUGAGAAAGUCCCUGUCUAUAUUUUUGUCUAUAAUUGAUGAGGGGCAAAAUCAGUACAUUUUCUCAAUUAGCAAGCAAGAAAAAUGAAAAAGUUACAGGUACUUGAUUCAAUAUAUGCAACUACAGUCCCAUUUUAAAUGUGAACUUUUUAGUUUUACAUUACUGUGAACAGUGUACCGUCACCCAUACUGACAUUGUAAUCAAUUUGAAAAGCUAUACUUUCAUAGUCAAGAUUGCAAGGAGAACCCAAAUUAAAUGUGCAUGUAAACUUUUGAAUGUUAUGUUACAGUAGACCUGCAUCUUGAUUGUCUGUGCCUAAGUAUUUAAAUGGACACUGCUGAAUAAAGAGCCUAUGUUUGGUAAAAAAAUGUUUGUCCAAAGUAAUGAUUGAAUGUGGUUUGACAUUGUUUUAAUUGUAAUUAAAAUGUUAGUGUAGAUGUAAUGUAUUUACUAAGCAACAUUUGAACAUACUCAUACAAACCACGCAGCUAAAUCCCUCCUUGAGUGUCUGCAGCUUGGGGGUUGUGACUUUCUGGGCAACUGCAAGAUCAGUGAGCUCUUUGAUUGCUGCUGUGACAGCUGGCAGACUUUGAGAUGCCAACACCAACUCUUCUAUUUUGUCACUCACUUCUCCCAAACUGGCACUGUCAUCAUCUUUACGGCUGCUACAAAUAAAAAUGGAUAAUCAGAUGUCAAAGCUACUUACUGGCUUAAAGAAACAUCACAUCACUUACUGAUAGAUGAUGAUUUAUGUAGUGAUGUCUUACUGCUAUUAUAGGAUUUAAAUCAAAUUAAUUCUUCUAUAUUGAUGUUCAUCCUAUAGUAUAUACAUAUUUAUUCACAUACCUCAGUUUCUUCCUCUUUGUUCCCUGGAGGCAAUUAAAGUCUUGUUCAGGCACAGCAAGAAUUUUUCGUGCAUUUUGUCUCCAGUACUGUGACCCUACAGAUGAAAAACAAAACCAAAGAAACCUGUUUAGAAGCCAAUACCAUAUUACCCAAUAAAUAUUACAAAGAGUCUGGUAAGACAUGUCUCUCCAUAAGAUAUGGGCUUUAGCUGUAAUAUUAUGGCUCACCUGUUGUGCCCUCCGACUCCAGAAUUGCAUUGCCCUGUGCAUCUGUCAAAAUUAUUGGGUUGUAAUUACCAAUGGCAUCUUGCACUUUUCCUACUAUCCCUUGAAGCGUAGCCUCAGACUCCAGGAAUCGUACAACCACCAUUCUAUUGGGAAUCAACCUCCCACCAACUACAUCUGCAAAGUACACUGAUCUGUAAAACAAAACAUAAUAAUUUUACAUAUCUUGUAAAAGACAGCAGGCCACAAAUCCAUUCAGUGAUUGCUAUAGGCAAAUUGUACUAAAACAGCUUUGCUAUUCUUAACAAUUCAACUAUCCAUGCACCUUAUGUUUCUUUUUAUUUUGCCUGUUCUGUAAUUUAAUAUUCAAGAACACAGACUCAUCCUACCUCUGAAAUGUUUUGGAGGACAUAGGGGAACUUGAAGUAGCCUGCUGUGAACGUGAAGGUGCAGACGCUGCCACAGCUGGUGCUCGCAUAAAUGCAAAACGCUGCCCGCUGGAACCUGCUGUUGGAAUUGACUCCAUGUCUUCUCCGUGGACUUCAUAGUGACCUCUGGGUGUAAGGUCUAAUGCGCUGAAAACACCAGAGACCGCACCGGGGAACAUAGCCACGUUUGAAUCAUCCGUGAUGUACAGAGUAUGCGCGGAUACCUGUUUAAGAAAAGUUUCCGUAAAUCACGUUGCUCUGCUAACGUGUUACUCCUGUGCACACGGUUAAUAGGCUCUAAAGGCUUACUUAUUAGCUAGUAGCCGGUAAAAGUCAAUGAAUAACUAUUUACACAUUAGCACAUGUGCACAAUUCACAUAUUAGCACAAUGAAGACGGCUAGACAUAGUAUUAGUAAAAGUAGGCCUACAUGAAAUCACCAAAUGUUAACGUUAGCCGUUCCGCAGUAAGGAAGAACAAUAACGUUCAUAAAAAAACUGCUGAAAGCAAAGUUUGCGAAGUUUACAUAUCUACCUGAAAGAUGCGACCCAGUUUUUCUGCAGUCAUGUCUUCGUCCCGGAGUGUCACUCUCUUAGUUUUCCUAAAAACAACGUAAUGGUCCAUCCUCUGUUUAUUCCAGUGUAACUUUAAGGCCGUCGAUCUCUUGUGUGGGGGACGGUGUGCGCGCGCCAUAAAAAAACGCGCAGAAGAAGUACUUCCCGUUUCAGACAUUGAAAAUGCGUCUAUUUUUUUGUUUUUGCGCUAGUAUACUUUCAUUAUUUGAAUCACGAAGAAAUCCAAAAAAGCACGUCUAAUUUUAAGUGUAUGACGGCUAUUUGUUACCACCGAAUGAAAAAACAAGUUAUUUUCGCCCAUUUUAUUCUUUAUCAAAAAUUAAAAAAAUGAAAAUUCUUUUAAAUAUCGUUUUUUCGUUUUGGUUUCUGAAACAAAACUUCAAAUACCGAAAAGUACACGGAUCAUUAAAGUGGAAUUCGAAAAUGUUUUUUGAAAUGCAGUUUACUAAAGUGCAAUUCGAAAAUGAUUUUAUUAAAGUGGAAUUCGAAAAAGGUUUUUGAAAUGCAGUUUAUUAAAGUGGAAUUCGAAAAUGUUUUUUGAAAUGCAGUUUAUUAAAGUGCAAUUCGAAAAUGUUUUUUGAAAUGCAGUUUAUUAAAGUGCAAUUCGAAAAUGUUUUUAUUAAAGUGGAAUUCGAAAAAGGAUUUUGAAAUGCAGUUUAUUAAAAUUAAGCACAGAAUUUUUUAUUUCGAUGCGCGUGGCUCUUGUGGUCCUCCAUAAUCUGCAGCCCCCAAGACUACCCAGGACCUGACACAUCUCUGUGACAUCUCAGUGCCCAUCCCAGCAGGAGAAGAGAUGAGGGUACCCACAGCCAAAGACUGUGAGUCCCCGGGCACAAUCAAGUACCCGCAUCCCAGGGAGGGGCAGAAGUGUCCAGUGGGGAUUGGUGGCCAUGUCCCAACAGGACCAAGGCCUAGUAUGCUCCAGAUCCAGGCCCAGCCAUGCACACACACACACACACACAUAUACUUUGUUAAGAAAUAGAUAGAUAUUUUUUAAUGCGUAUCUGCUCAUUAGAUUGUUUUAUGAGAGGCCCAGACUUGACUAGGUCACAGGCUGACCAGAAACUGCAUGUUUUUUUGCAGAAUAUGAGGAGCAGACAGAGUGAAACUAAGUUUAGACAGGUUGCCCUGGCAACAGACCUUAGAAAGGGGAAGUUAUUGCAAGCUGCACAGGAAGUUUUAGUGCACAGGCAUAUUAAUAAAUCAGACACAGUAAAGAGGAACUGAGUAGAAGGAGUUUUGUUUGUAAUGAAACUGUAUGUGUCACGUGUGACGUGUGUGACGUCUGAAGUACCGAAAUAACACCAUAUAAGACACAUGUUGAGCUUGUAAUGUUAGAGAUCCUGCAACUGGCCUUUGGGCGGUGCAGGGGUCUCUCUCUUCCAGAAGAUGAUUGAAAUAAAAGAAAUAUAAAAUGUUUUGACCACUAUGAGUCGGGUUUUCUCUGUUCUAUCAUGGGGACAAAAGAAUCGGGGUUUAAUAACUUACUUACACACACACACACACACACACACACACACACACACACACAAACAAACCACUGGUUCACUGACUUGCACCCACCCACUAGUGACACAAACAAAGACAUAAAGACACAUGUGCACACAUAUUCCAGCUGGAGAGAAGGAAAGAGUCCAUCCAGCAUUAAAGUCAUUCAGAGUCAUAUCUAAUAUUAUAAUGUAAUCAAAGUCAUUGGACUGCUUCAUGUUCACAGUGAUACACACUUCUUU
rnacentral:lncRNA from 1 species